rnacentral:lncRNA from 1 species
AUCUUGUAGGUAAAUAAUAGAUCUAUGGGUGGUGAAUGUUUUGUUGAUAACUACGAAGAAGAGGAUGAAGAACACUUCUUUGAUGAAUCAGACGAAGAGGAUGAAGAAAAAUUCUUUGAUGACUUGGACGAAGAUGAGGAUGAAGAAUAAUUUGACUCAUUAAUUCUUGUUUAUUUUCAUUAUUUGAUGUAAUAAAUUUCACAUUGAAGGCUAAAUUGUCGAUAUUCAUGACAAAAUUGAUUAACUUUGGUUAGACAUUUAUUUUAAUGUAAUAAAUCU